UACGUAGGGUGCAGGCGUUAAUCGGAAUUAUUGGGCGUAAAGGGCGCGUAGGCGGCCUGGCAAGUGACGGGUGAAAUCCCUCGGCUUAACCGAGGAACUGCCUGUCAGACUGCUGGGCUUGAGACCGGGAGAGGUGAGUGGAAUUCCCAGUGUAGCGGUGAAAUGCGUAGAUAUUGGGAGGAACACCAGUGGCGAAGGCGGCUCACUGGACCGGAACUGACGCUGAGGCGCGAAAGCGUGGGGAGCAAACAGG
rnacentral:rRNA from 1 species